GAGGGUAUAGCUCAGUGGUUAGAGAACAUGCUUAGUAUGCAAGAGGUCCUCGGUUCAAUCCCCAGUGCCUCCA
rnacentral:tRNA from 1 species